UCCAAUUCACGUAUGUUACUGUUUAACCGUGUUCUCGAGAUUCUUUGAUAAAACUUAUCCUCAAGGGUGGAAAUUCUAAGAAUCUUUACCUUUUCAGCUUCUCCAUUGGGUUUCUUUUGACACUUGAUUUAACACAAGGUUACCAUGUUUAUGUUAAUAAUCAGCGACAUGCUACACAGAUGUUGCUGUUGCUUUAUGUGCAGAUCCUUAGGAUAAAUCUUGUAGUCUAGCUAGUCUGUUUUCUUGAAUGGACCAUGGAAUUUUUAUGGAUCUAACUUAUAUAUACUAAUAUUAUAAAAGUAAUUACACUUGAAUGUAUUUUAACAUGUUUUUUCACGUAGCUAAUUUCACUUUCUAUGGACAGUCAACUAUAAUUAUCUUUUUAAGUGAUACAUGAAUAGGGAAGUUGACCACUCAUGUUUUUGUUGUCUUUAUGUAUCAUCAGGUUUCCAUUUCGUCGAUGGAUGUCAGUGUUGUUCCAGAAUCUGCACUAAGUGAAACUUCAAACUCCCAUCCACGACCUCCAAAAGGGACCAUCGAUCUGUUCUCAGGCCCUCCAAUUCAGAUACCUCCCCAGCUUACUCCAAUGGACAGAGAAGCCAGAGUCCUAAGGUACAGAGAGAAGAAGAAGAACCGUAAAUUUGAGAAAACCAUAAGGUAUGCUUCAAGAAAAGCCUAUGCAGAAACAAGGCCAAGAAUCAAAGGCCGAUUUGCAAAGAGAACGGACGUAAAGGCUGAAGUAGACCAGAUGUUCUCCACACAAUUAAUGACAGACAGCAGUUAUGGAAUUGUCCCUUCAUUCUGAAUGCAACAAAGAGAAGAUCAACUGCAAGCCCCUAAACCUAGAAUUAAUAUUGUAUCUCUUACGUCAUUAUCGAUCUAAGGCUAUUGGAUAAUGAGAAAUGUACUACAGCAGUUUUCCACAGAGGAUUUGUUAAAUUCUCUGCUUUGUUGUAUAUGUAAAAAGAGUUCUUCCUUGUAGACCACGCUGCAGUCAAUACGUACAAUUUUUCUCAGGAAGAAGUAAAGAAACAGAUCCUCCAGUGUGAAGGGAUUGACCCAACAAGACAAAAAGUACUAGUUCCGCGAGAAGCAAAGAGUUGACUGCAGUAACAAGGAGUGUGGUGGGAUGGAUGAGACAUCAACAACCUUAACCAGAAGUCUCAGGUUAAUGGAAAAACUUUUAGUAAGAAAUGCUUACCUCCUUAGUGGACCUACCUGACACAUAGAUAGAUACUGGAUGCCUAAAGGGAAAAAGAAAAAAGAAAAGAAGAAUUGACUGCAUAUAACUUUUCCACAUUAAAAGAACUCAGUGCAGCCACAAGUAAUGGGAAAAGCAAAAUUACCGACGACCUCUCGAUGCUCAGUGGCUGUAUAUGACAUUGUGUGCUGGUGCAAUAUAAUUGAAGCUGAGUUCUGCUGUCUGCUGUCUGCUUUCUGCUUUCCCUUGUGGUCAUCUUUUUGUUGGAACAUACUCUUUUUGGAUGACAUAUAAUGUUCAUCAAUACCUGCUUUUGGUCCAGGGCCUCUUCCCAGAUUCUCCUUCAAUACAAUGAAUAUCCCAUCACUGAAGAUAAAGAAUAAAAGGUCCACUUCUCCAAGGAUAGGAAAGCACAAUAUUUUUGCCGAAAAUGGUACUGCAUAAGCGUAAGCAAAAUACUGCUAUGAUCAUCAAACUUUUAGUUGUAAUGACAGAAUCAAGGUACACGAUAUCCCUAAAAUAGCUAACAUACAGCUUCUAAUUUGUAAUCAGCAAGGAUAUAGGUAAUUUGCUCAAGAAAAAGAAGCACUUUAGUGGGUGGUGAAAGGAAAACUAAAGGCGAUAGAAGCAAGGGGACUGGGGAACGACAUCUGUUAAGCUAAUGAAAAAUCUCUAAGACCAAUCAUCUGUAUUUACCCUUGCUCAAGUCAAUCAACUACUAAAGUGUUCCUCCUAUCUUGGAAUCUAAAGAGUUCUCACUUCUACAGUUCUAUGUAUCAUCUAUUUCAUUAACUGUUUAUAUAUUAUCAACUAAAAGCACUUGGCAGUAAGAAAAUUACUUGACUCAACAAACUGGUGUUGUCAAAAGCAAAAGGUAAGAAGAGCAACCAGGGUAUGGUCGGGUUUUAAGUGCAAAGUGCGAUUAAAAAGCACACGUUAAUGAAGGAGACGAAGAUGAAGAAGUAAAUGUAAAAAUAAACACAAACAAGCAUUUAUAUGGACCAAGGAAUUGAGAAUAAAAUUGCAAACAUAAUAAAAACAUGUCAAUAAAGUUCAAUCUCAUUGCCCCCAAGGCCUAGCUCAAGUGGCAAAAGGUGGAGGAUUUGUGGCUUAAGUCGCAGGUUCAAGCCCCACACCAUGCAAAGUGAAGCCCGGUAUUUAAGUGGAGAAGGGUAGAGGGGCGGGCCCAUUAUCCACUGAGUUUAGAAGGCUGUGAUUGGUCCAAAGGGCGGGUCACAGACGGAUUUCUCGGUUAUCAAAAAAAAAAAAAAAAAAAAAGUUCAAUCUCAUUUUUUUAUUCCGUUGCAAAGAUGCAAAUUUAAGUUUCUAAUUCAAUUUUAUUGACUAAUUUGCUUUGAUAAAGUAUUCUAUUGACCUAUUUUGAAUCACUAACAUUUUUCCUUAAUGUUUUCUUAACAAGUGAUGUAUCACUUCGCUUUGUAAUUAUUUUUUAGCUUGCCCACUUCAAAAUCAUUAUAAAUUACUUAAACUUAUUAAGAAGCAAUAAGUUGGCUGUCUUUCUAAGGCACAGACCUCACAGUGCCUAAGCAACGCAGAACACCAAGUUUGCGAUGCAUCUAGCUUCAAGGUUUAUGCAUUCCUCAUGCGCACUUCUAACAAAUUGCCUCAUAAUCCAACUUCAAAAGGAAAGAGGUGUGCUUAGAAUAGAAUCUUCUCCAUCUACAUCAAGCAUACAUGACUUAUUAGGCUCAGUUAUUUCUGAACUACUCUACUUACUACCAAAACAGUUUACCACUAAGAAGGAGGUAUUCCAUGGCCUCAAAAGUAUCAGUAAUCAAAAGACAAUGUCCUUUUAUCAGUCUUAAGCUGAAGGAAAGCAUAUUGCACUUUAGCCUUUUUUUUAUGUGAAGUAGUCACUGAAAAAGUAACAAGGCAAGUUCCAGCUUAUCUAGGAAUAAGGUGAAAGUGUAAGGAGGUAAGAACUUUGUGGCUAAGAAAUUUCAUCCAAGAAUGGCUUGGACGUUCACUUUUAGGUCUUUUUUGAUCAUUGGGUACUUUUAGUAUCCAAUUCUGCACUGCUAUUCGUUGAACAGAAGAACCUUUAUCCACCUCACAACUCACUAGCAUAGAAAAAGAAUACCCAUUAAUGUGUCACGACCAAUAUUAUUUUGCUCAGUUAUUUCUGCACUACUCUAUUUACUACCAAAACAGUUUACCACUAAGAACUACUAUCAAUAAAGAUAGUUGCUGCUCUCUUCAUACUUGUUUGCAGGUUAAGUUGCUCAUCUAUCUUUAGCAAUGCAUGUGAUCCAAUUCAUUGGAUUUCAAGUCACAGUAAACUGUGAAGCAUACUACUAGGAGGUAUUCAUGGCCUCAAGCCCUCAACAGAAAUUAGUAAUCAAAAUAUGCAACUGAUUGAACAAGACGCAUAAGGAAAGCAUAUUAAACCUUUGUGAAGUAGUCAUUGAAAAAGUAACAAGGCAAGUUUCAGCUUAUCGAGGAAUAAGAUGAAAGUGUAAGGAAGUAGGAACUUUGUGGCUAAGAAAUUUCAUACUAAAAUGGCUUGGACAUUCACUUUUAGGUCCUUUUUGAUCAUUGGGUACUUUUAGUAUCCAAUUCUGCACUGCUAUUCGUUGAAGAGAAGAACCUUUAACCACCUUACAACUCACUAGCAAAGAGAAAGAAUACUCAUCAAUGUGUCACGGCCAAUAUUAUUCCCACCCAGAAUAAACGGGCAAACAACUCAGAUUGUUUGAGUUAUUCCUGAGCCGUUCAAGUUGGAUCAGGUCCCUCUGAUUCCAUGGGUACUUUAGCUAUCUAUUUAUGCCAUGCCAUUUGCUGAACACCAGCACUUUUUCCGCAGCUCAUAAGAGCCAAGCAAUCCAUCAUGGAGCAAUUCUAGUGAUUCCAAUGCAAUAAAAUUAUUAAAACAACAAAACAACCUUUAAUGAUUUUUCUAAUUCAAUGUGAAAAUAUCAAACUGCAUUGCUGGUUGACUCCACAACAAAAUCCAGAUAUAGUAAUCUUAUUUCUUGUCUGUGAAUAACUAAUUUCGUGCAAAUUUGCUGCUCGAGAUUAUAUCGUACACACACACACAAGGUGGUGUCCAAAAUGCUCAACUCAGUGGCGAAGCCAGGAUUUUCAUAAAUCCUUAAGAGGGUUAAAAAAUAUGACGAAAUAAAUACACAAGGAAGUCAAGAGAAUUCAACAUCCACUAUAUAUACUUAAAAAUAAUUUUAACCGUGUACAUACAAAGUAAUUUUCCAAUGAAAGGGAUUCGAACCCCCUUGCCCUUUCCUGGCUCGACUCCUCGCUACCUCCCACCAGCACGGUUUUCAAAUUAUUCAGCACACCAAGAUUUAGGCAAAUCGGAAAAAUCUGUGUAAUGUCGUCUCUGCUGGAAUUUGAACCUUGGUUUCCAAGGUUUUUAUCCCAACUCCUCAACGUCAAGGAAGAGAACAAAACCAUAUUACCUAAAGAUAAUUUUAUUGGUCGUUUUACAUAUUAUGUGAAGGUGUGAACCAAGGAAACCCACACAUAAGGCUUCCUCAUUUUAGAUUGUAUCAGUUGAGGGUCAAAGUUUGCACCUGGAGGAUAAUCCUAACAAAUAUUCUAUAGAUAUGGUUUAAAAGAGAAUGUAGCACUUUACUUUAUUCUUUUUUUUUAUGACAAGGGAAACCCGCAGCCUCUACCCUUUGGGUGAGCACAGGGUAAAACCCCCGCUCCUCUGCAAUAGCUCGCAAACCACAUAGGAGAGGUAACCCACACUAGGCAAGCCCGGUGCGACGAGCUCGACCCAGAAGGCAAACCCCUUGCUUUUGCUGGCAAGGGGUUUCGAACUUGAGACCUCCAACAUGGAAGUCCCAAGCCCAAACCACUGGGCCAUCCCUAAGGGUUCACUUUACUUUAUUCUUUUGUGGAUCAAGAAUCUUAAGAAAAAGUGAAAAGAGCAUAUUCCAUCUCACAAGAACAUUGAAGUUAUCCUGGACCUGUUGUGUUCCACAGAAGUAACCAGAGAAAGGCUAAAAUUUCAAGUUUGAGAUCCCUCCUAUUCCAUGGGUACUUUAUGUAUCUAUUUCUGCUCUGCCAUUUGCUGAGUCACAGCACUUUUUCUACAGCUCAUAAAUGUCAAGCAAUCCACUUGUGAUUCCUAUGCUUAGAAAAUUACUAGUUUUUGGAGGUAGAGUCCUGAGAAAAAGUGAAAAGAGUAGGUUCCACUUAAGUCACCUGAGCAUAGCUAAGCCUUUUAAGCUUUGAGGUCCCUAAGAUUACAAGGGAACUUUAGCUAUCUAUUUCUGCUCUGCCAUUUGCUGAGCCGCAGGUCUUUUUUCCCACAACUCAUAAAUGCUAAGCAAUCCACCAUGGAGCAAUUCUUGUGAUAGCUAUGCUUAAAAAAUUAUUAAACAAAACAAAACAAUUUCCAGUGAUUUUCUAAUUAAUGCGAAAAUAUCGAACUUCAUUUCUGGUUGAUUACACAACAAUGUCCAGAUACAACAAUCUUAUUAUUGUGAGUGAACAACUAAUUUCGAGCAAGUUCGCUGGUCGAGAUUGUGCCUUACAGAAACACAUAGUGAGGCCAGGCUAUGCAGCUUGAUUAAGUCACAAGGUACCUACUACCUCCAACCGGCUCUACAAGUAUCGAAUAAUUAUGUCCACCAAAAUUUAGGCAAAUGCGAAAAAUUCUAGUAGCGUCACCUCUGUUGGGAUUUGUACCUUGGUACCCAAGGCUAUUAUUCCAAGUCCUCAACUGCUAGGGGACACAGGCAAAUCAUAUUGACUAAAGAUAAUUUUACUAGCUGUUAUUUUUCAUAAUGUGCGAACGAAAGAAGCACACACACAGACGUAGGCAAGAUUUCAACAAAAAUGUUUCAUCUUAGAUUGUAUCAGUUGACUGUCAAAGAAUGCAUACAGAGGCUAAUCCAGGCUAAUAUUUUAAAGCAUAUAAUUAAAAGACAAUGUAGAGCUUCUUUCUUUUAACUUUUGUGGAUGAAGAGUCCUACCAUAAAGGUGAAAAGAGUAGAUUCUAUCUCAGUGAGAACAUUGAAGUUGUUCCACAGAAGUCAUUAGAGCCUGGCUAAGCCUUUCAAGUUUGAGGUCCCUCUUGAUCCAUGACACUUUAGUACCUAUUUCUUCUCUUCCAUUCGCUGAAAACCUGAAACUCUGCACUUUUUACAAAGCUCAUAAAUUUCUUAGUUUUUUGUGGGUGUGAGGCCCUUUCAAAUCCUUAGGACUUUUAUUUAUCUAUUUCCGCACUGUCAUUUGCCAAACAUCAUUACUUUUUUGAUCUGGUUGACAGCCACAACAAAGAUUCUUUCGUGCCAUAUCAUCAAAUUUUAUCCAGUAAUAGCAUUAAGAGGUAAAAUUGUCUAAGCAUUUCAAAUUUGUGUAUUUAGUGGGGAAAAAACUGAAAAAUGCGUUUGUCCUCUUUUUUAUAUACCAAGAUGCAUUUGUAUGUAGUGUAAUCCCUUUGUAUAUACCAAACAAAGAUUCUUUCAUGCCAUACCAAGAUGCUCUACCUUAGAGGCAAUUGUCCCUUUAUAGAUAUAAAAAAAUAAUGAGAACAAACCUAGUUUAAUCCCACAAGUGGGGUCUGGAGGGGGACAGAUGUAUGCAGAAAUACCUUUGUGGGAUAGAGAGAUUGUUUCUAACAGACCUCGGCUAAAAAAGUGAAGUUAUUCGGAAAAGGAUUGCAGGAAGAAAAAGAAAUGACAGCAAAAUAUCAAGCUACAUGCAAAAUAGAACAACAGAUAGCAAAAACAUUGACAAAAAAAAAACUGUGAUAACUAAAUUAAUACUAAUAAAUAGGGACAAGGGGAUAUGAGGUUAGCCCCCUGCCACUCCCAACUAAUGAGCGACCACAUUCAGCUACCUACUAACCUUCUACCCUAAUCCUCGAUUGCCAUACCCUCUUAUCUAGGGACAUGUCCUCAAUAAGCUGAAGUUGUGUCAUGUCUUGUCUUGUCUAAUCAACUCCCCCAUUUCGUUUUUGGUCACCACUACCUCUCCUAACUCCUGUUACAACCAACCUCCUAACUAGCGUAUCUGCACACCUCCUAACUAAUCCACAUUCAGCUACCUACUAACCUUCUACCCUAAUCCUCGAUCGCCAUGCCCUCUUAUCUAGGGACAUGUCCUCAAUAAGCUGAAGUUGUGUCAUGUCUUGUCUUGUCUAAUCAACUCCCCCCAUUUCGUUUUUGGUCACCACUACCUCUCCUAAAUCCUGUUACAACCAACCUCCUAACUAGCGUAUCUGCACACCUCCUCUUCACAUGCCCAUGCCCGAACCAUCUCAGUCUCACUUCUCUCAUCUUGUCCGUCAUGAAUGUCAUUCCCACCUUGCCCCAUAUAGCUUUGUUCCUGAUCAUGUUUCUCCCUUUAUAUAUACCAUUUCUAAAAAUAUGUGUACCUAUAUGAAGCUUGUAUUCUUUAUCAGAAAAAGACAUAUUUGGAAAAAGAAAUAAAUCCUUAAACCAUCACGUCUCAAAUUCAAACAGACUUAUAAGUUGAACCAUAACAAACCGUAACAAUAGAUGUUAGUAUCAUAUGUUCACCACAAUAAAGCAGAAUAUACGAAAUAAUCAGGAAAGAAAAAUUUAACGAAAAAUACAGAACUGUGAAUUAAUUAUCCGAGCCCACAGAAUUCGCUAUGUGUCCUUAAUAAGCCCUAGCCCCAUAUAAGAGAUCUAAAAAGGUCAUUUACUUCUUUUCAAUUUGUACGUGGUCAUAAGAGACCACUUCCUCUCUAUCAUUAGAUAAAAGAUACAUGUCAAUAUUCAGACACCAAAUCAGUUGCCCAACAUACAUUAUUUCAAAUUUGAAAAAAGAACUUUCAUCGUGUCUGUUGCAGCACCAAUUAUUUUCUUUUGAUGUGGUGCUGAGUUUCUUUUCCUAAUGUUAGUAGAGCAUCAAAGUCUCAAGUCUUUCAAAUGAGGUUUUCUAUGACAAAGUUCCUCUAUAUUUUCUCUAACUGCUAUUUUCUUCUCCUUCCUACACUACUAUUUUGAAAUCAUAGAAAGGGAAAACGUCAAUACUAUAGAUGCUUAUCAAAGUACUGAACUCUGAAGGGAUCUUCCAAACAGUAUAAAUUCAACAUGUGAAGUAAGCCUACGUAUGCCAAACUCAGCAAUUCUUACGAUGAAACAAAAAUAAUCUUGCUCUCCAAGAACAAGACUUCCUAAUUCUUCCACUCCACUACUAUAUAUGACCUUUAAAGCAUUCUUCCCGUUUAACCUGCUUAGGCAUAUGUUUUGAUCAUUUGGAUUCUAUUAUGAGAUUCAACGAGAAUCACAUCACGAGAGUAUUCUAAAAACCGAAAUUACAAAAUCAAUGUUUUCAAUACCAUACCAUUCAGGUCCGUACCAUGCCCACCCCUAACGGUGAAAAUCUAAUAAACUAUGGGAAGUGUAUCGGUAUAGUCCACCCCUUAAAGGCAAUCUCUUGAACAAAGCUCUCCCACCUCAAUUGAUUCCAAAAGCCCAAGGCCCCUGGACCCACUUGUUUCAACCUCCUUGUGGCUUGACCCCACCUUCCGGCCCCACCAGAAUCACCAGCCACCACAAGAUAAUGAAAAAACUUUUCCUACCCAUUAACUUCCCUCCACAUGUUUCCCUUGGAUUCUCUCCCCACUUGAUAGUUGCCUACUGUUAUUUUCCCUCCUUUCCCCCUUCAUAUUCCACAGUGCCCCAUAAGUCUGCAGCAUACCUGCUAAACUUCAGUAUUCGAAGUACAACAGAAAAUAGAGAGCAAGAAGAAAAAAUAGGCCAAAAAUAGUUCAAUGUUGAAAAAGGAGAACAGUGGGGGUUUUGAUGGCAGCAGCAAUUACUGGGCAAGAGUGUGUGACAGUUGCCGUUUAGUUACCUGUACCAUUUACUGCCAGGCGGAUUCUGCCUAUUUGUGUGCAGGCUGUGACGCCCGCAUACAUGCAGCAAGUCUGGUGGCUUCUCGUCACAAGCGUGUGUGGGUUUGUGAGGCCUGCGAGUGUGCCCCUGCAGCCUUUCUUUGCAAGGCGGAUGCUGCCUCACUUUGUGCCUCCUGCGAUGCUGACAUCCAUUCUGCCAACCCCUUGGCACAUCGUCACCACCGUAUCCCAAUUAUUCCCAUUCCAGGUAGCCACCAUUUUUCUUCACACAGACCAUAUAUACUCCUACAUGAGAAAAAUAACAAAAUUUUCAAUAUAUAUGGUUUCUAAACCAUAAUAUCAAAAGUGUAAUGUUUUAAAUAAUAAAAAACAUAAAAAUUGAACUCAUCAAACUUAAAUUCUAAAUUUGGCUCUGAUUCCAAUCUCCAGGAACCCUUUAUGGUCCUCCAGCUGUUGACACUGUUGGCGGUGAUUCUAUGAUGAUUGGUGGGUCCACGGGGGAAGGAACGGAGGAUGAUGGGUUCUUGAGUUUGACACAAGAUGCAGAUGAUACGACUAUAGAUGAAGAAGAUGAAGAUGAAGCAGCUUCAUGGUUGUUGCUGAAUCAUCCUGUUAAGGACAACAAUAAGAACAACGUUCACAAUAACAACAAUCAAACUAACAUCUAUGGUAUGUUGUUUGCUGGGGAAGUAGUCGAUGACUACUUGGAUCUUGCAGAAUAUGGAGGGGAUAGUCAGUUUAAUGAUCAGUACAAUGUUAACCAACAGCAACAACACUACUCUGUUCCUCAGAAGAGCUAUGGUGGAGAUAGUGUGGUGCCUGUUCAGGACGGUCAGGGAAAGUCUCUAUUUUUUUACCACCACCAACAACAAAGUCACCACCUGAAUUUUCAGCUGGGGAUGGAUUAUGACAAUUCUUACACUCGACUCGGUUACCCUGCUUCUAUGAGUCACAGUGUAUGUUUUCUUCACUUUAUCCAUAUAUCUCAAUUCAAGCAAUAUGCACUUUCAAUUCAUGAGUUGUCUUAAAGAAUCUCCACCUUUUUUGCUUUUGCUUUGGCUUUCUUUUGAAACUUGAUUUAACACAACGUUACAACGUUCAUGUUGUUAAUCAGCGACAUCCUACACGGAUGUUGCUGUAGUUUUAUGUCCUGAUCAUCAAGAUAAAUCCUGCAGUCUUGCUAGUCUGUUUUCUUGAAUGAGAUGGAUCUAAACUUUUAUGCCUUAUUUUUUUAUCUUUUAAGUGAUAGUUAACCGGAGCGAUAACCCCUAUUGUUUUCUUUAUCAGGUUUCUGUUUCGUCGAUGGAUGUCAGUGUAGUCCCAGAAUCUGCACUAAGUGAAACUUCAAACUCCCACUCACGACCUCAAAAAGGGACCAUUGACCUUUUCUCAGGCCCUCCAAUUCAGAUACCUCCCCAGCUUACUCCAAUGGACAGAGAAGCCAGAGUCCUACGGUACAGAGAGAAGAAGAAGAAUCGUAAAUUUGAGAAAACCAUAAGGUAUGCUUCAAGAAAAGCCUAUGCAGAAACAAGGCCAAGAAUCAAAGGUAGAUUUGCAAAGAGAACGGACGUAGAGGCUGAAGUAUACCAGAUGUUCUCCACACAAUUAAUGGCAGAUAGCAGUUAUAGAAUUGUCCCUUCAUUCUGAAUGCAACAUAGAGAAGAUCAACUAGAAGUCUCUAAACCUAGUAUUACUAGUGUAACUCUUACAUUAUUAUCAAUAUAACUAGCUCUUGAAUAAUUAAAAAUGUUACUAAAGUAGUUCUCCGAAGAGAACUUAUUAAAUUCUCUGCAUAGUUGUAUAUGCAAAAGGAGUUCUUCCUUGUAGAUCAUGUUGCAGUCAGUACGUACAAUUUUUCUGAGGAGAAAGCAAACAAAGAGCCCCUCCAGUGUAAAUGGAUUGACCUAACAAGACAAAAAGUAGUAGUUCUGCAAGAGCAAAGGAUUGACUGCAGAAUCAAGGAGGGGGUGGUGUGGAUGAGAAAUCUGCACCCUAAAACCUUUUGGUACAAAAUUUUACCUCCUUAGUGGACCUACCCGGCACAAAUUCAGAUACCGGAUGCCUAAAGGGAAAAGAAAAAAGAAAAGAAGAAUUGACCGCAGUUACCUUUUCCAAAUAAAAAGAACUCAGUGCAACCACAAGUAAUAGAAAAAGCACUAUUACCAACGACCUCUGGAUGCUCAGUGGCUGUAUAUGACAUUGUGAGCUGGUGCAAUAUAAUUGAAGCUCAAUUCUGCUUUCUGCUUUCCACUGUGGUCAUCCUUUUGUUGGAACAUACUCUUUUGGUCCAGGGCCUCUCUCUCAUCUAGUGUUUGUCCCAGAUUCUCUUUCAGCAAAAUAAAUGACCCAUCACUGAAGAUAAAGAAUAAAAGGUCCACUUCUCAAAGGAUAGGAAAGCACUGAUGCAAUACUUUUUCCUAAAAAUGGUAGUUCAUAAGCACCAUGUAAGCAAAAUACUGCAAUGAUCAGCAAAAGUUUAAUAUUGAAAUACAGUUUUUAUUCUUUAAUCAGCAAGGACAUAGGUACUUUCCCUUCACCUUUACUGAAACUUAAAAGUGGAAAGUGCAUCAAGGCAAUUGACUACUAAAGUGAUCAUCCUAUCUUGGGAUCUAAAGGUUCUUUUUUAAAUCCAUUUCAUUAAUCGUUUAUAUAUAAUUAACCAAAAAAAACAACAUGGCAGUAUGAACAUUACUGGAUGCUGGACUGUGGACUCUAGUUCCUGCAACAGAGUCAAAAGCAAAAGGGAAGAAGAGCACCCCCAGGGUAUGGUCGGGUUUUAAGUGCAAAGAACGAUUAAAAAACACAUGUCAGUGAAGGAAGACGAAUAUGAAGAUGAAGAAAUAAAAAUAACCACAGACAAGCCAUUAUAUGGACAAAUGAACUGAGAAAAAAAUUGCAAGUGAAACAUAAAUAAAGAAUAAAGCAUGUCAAUCCAAGUUCAAAAUCCGUUGCAAAGAUGCAAAUUUAAGUUUCUAAUUCAAUUUUAUUGACUAAUUGUCCUUGACUAAUUUUGUUCACUAAGUUUCUAACAACCUGUUUUUAAUCAUUAACAUUUUUUCCAUAACGUUUUCUUAACAAGUGAUAAAUAACUUUGCUUUAUAAUUAUUUGUUCUUUGACUCUGUCAAUGUGAGCUUGUUGAAAUUAUUGGUCCUAAGCCCAGAUAAAGAGAGGAGGGUUGCCGAAGCCCGAAGGUCAAUCGGAAACAGCUUCUAUACCACAUAAAGUUAGGGGUAAGAUUGCAUACAUCUUACCCACCCCAAACCCCACUUGUGGGAUUACAUUGGAUUUAUGUUGUUUUAUAAUUAUUGUAUAUUAUCGCCCUCUUCAAAACAAAACUUACAGGCAUUAUAAAUUACUACUUACACUUAUUAAGAAGCAAUUAGUUGGCUGUCUUUCUAGGCACAGACUUACACUUAAGCACUGCCUAAACAACGCAAAGUACUCUUUUAACAAAUUGCUACAUAAUCCAACAAGUUCUGCCGCAGCUACAUAAAUUGAUAAUCUUCUAUCUUUUAGCAAUCCAUGUGAUCCAGUUCAUUGGAUUUCCAGUCACAGUAAACCAUGAGGCAUAAAAUGAGUAGGUAUUCCAUGGCCCCAACAGUAUCAGUAAUCAAACCACAAUGUCCUUUUAUCACUUUUAAGCUGAUACGGGGGACUCAAAGUAUGCAACUGCCUGAACAAGACGCAGAAGGAAAGCAUAUUGCACUUUUACCUUUUCUGAUGUGAAGUAAUUGUCCUGCAUAUCAAGGAAUAAAAUGGAAGUGUAGGUAAGAACUUUGUGGCUAAGAAAUUUCAUCCAAGAUGGCUUGGAUGUCCACUUUUAGGUCCUUUUUGAUCAUUGAGUACUUUUAAUAUCCUAUUCUGCACUGCUAUUCGUUGGACAGAAGAACUUUUAUCCACCUCACAACUCACUAGCAAAGGAAAAGAAUACGCAUCAAUGUGUCACGGCCAAUAUUAUUCGUGCCAGAAUAAAGGACAAACAAGUCAAAUUGUUUGAGAUAUUCCUGAUCCACACAACAGAAUAUUCAAGGUGCUCUACUAUCUUAUCCCUUUUAAAUCAUGUCCAAUUACUUUUCAGGACUUCAACAAAGAUGUCUCAUUUUAAAAAGUAUCAGUUGACUGUUAAAGGACCUGGAGGCUAAUCUAAAACUUUCUACUUUUGUGGAGGUAGAGUCCUGAGAAAAAGUGAAAAGUGUAGGUUCCACGUAAGUCACCUGAGCACAGCUAAGCCUUUCAAGUUUUAGGUCCCUCAGAUUCCAAGGGAACUUUAGCUAUCUAUUUCUGCUCUGCCAUUUGCUGAGCCUUAGCACUUUUUCCACAGUUUAUAAAUGCCAAGAAAUCCACCAUGGAGCAAUUCUUGUGAUACCUAUAUGCUUAUAAAAUUACUAAUUUUUGGGCAUGCAUUUAUCGCGCAUCAAUGUGAAGUAAUCUUCUUAAAACAACAUACUAUUAAUAUAUAAAUAGAUGUGUUCCAUUAUAAAAUUAAAAUUUUAAAAAGUUUCAAGUUCAUGAAUAUAAUGAACGUUAAUUAUCUUUUGCAAUUUAAUUAAACCCACUUCAGUGAUUCUUCGACCAGUUCGCUCCAAACUUGCUUUAGAUCUUCAUAACAUCAUAAUAAGAUUGAAGGGUUGCAACUCGUUGUCACUAAAAUUAAAAGCAACUUCCACUACUUUUUUCUUCCACUACUCUUCUUCGAAGAAAUUCCAUGAUUUACUUCGCUAUUUCUUAAUGUAGUCUACUUUGCAGAAGUUCCUGGUUUUAGUAAAAUGCACUCAGUUACAGAAUCAAGCUUAAAGUUGAUAUUUAAAAAAAUUCAUAAAGAAGUCCAUUGAAUAAUAACUCUGAUUAAAACCUUUCUAAUCCUUGGGUUACAAAGCAAAGGAAAAUGAAGCAUUAAGAAGAACGCAUCUUUAAGGUUCAAGGUCUGUCAUUACUUCUGUUAAAUGAAAUUCCAGACUUGGUAUAAAUUAAUUUCAUUUCAUAGUAAAUUGAGAAGCAAAAUUACAAUUUUGCUUUUUAAAAGAUAUUUAAGUUAUUUCAAUUCCCUAAAAUGACUUUUCCCCUGCAAAUUUAUUUGCAUUAGAACUUUUAACUAACUUAAGGGAAUAUUUAAUGAAAACUGACAAAAAUAUUUUAUAAUUGUGUUCCUAUAUUUUAUAGGGACAUCCAAUUUUUGAGUUGGAGAAAAUAUUGAACCUGAAUCUUUAAACUCUUAAGAUGCGAAUACAGGAAACGUGAAUUAGAGGUAAGAGACUUGAGUAAAGCAGUUAAGACAAAAGGAGACCAAUUUCUAUACUAAAUUGAUCUUAUAAAAACUCUUUUCCCAGAAAAUUCCUAUUUCUUGUCAUUGCUAGACUUUAUUUAGGGCAAAAGAUUUAUUGAUGGUUCAUUCCAUUCCGAAGUUAGUAAUGUUCAUGAAGUUGGCGAACUUUCCUCUAAAUAGCUUGUUUGGAUGGUUGUUACCUAUUGCAUUGUAGUGUAUUAUGUUGCUAGUUUAAAUAUACUGUUGUUUUAGUGGUUUCUUAAAUUUUAGAGUUAAUGGUUAAAAAAACACCUGAACUAUCACUUUUUUCGCGAGUUUCACACCCAAAUUAUGAGUUGUUCCCUUUUCCUAUAUCACCAUAAAUGUAUUAAAAUACACCACGGCGCUGAUUAAACUAGCUAUUAGUUGUUCCCGGUGUGCACUUUCUGUUAUCACCCUCUUUCAUUGCCAUUUUUGAAGCCAAUAGAAAAAAUCUUUCCCACCUAAACUAUCACUAUCUACGCAAGUAGAUGUUUUAUUUAUGAAACAAUGUUAUAUGCAUCAAAGAAUGCAUUCGGAGGCUAAUCCAGAUCAAUAUUUUAAAACAUACAGUAAAGACAAUGUAGAGCUUCCUAACUUUUGUGGAUGAAGAGUCAUACCAUAAAGUGAAAAGAGUAGAUUCUAUCUCAACAAGAACAUUGAGUUGUGGACCUGUGGAUUCUCUUCCCACUUUGUAGUUGCCUACUGUUAUUUUUCCUUCUACUCCACUUUCACAUUUCACAGCACCCCAUAAGUUUACAGCAUACCUGCUCAAGUUCAGUAUUCAAAGUACAAUAGAAAAUAGAGAGCAAGAAGGGAAAAAAAAAAUCAGUUCAAUGUUGAAAAAGGAGAACAGUGGGGGUUUUGAUGGCAGUAGCAACAACUGGUCAAGGGUGUGUGACAGUUGCCGUUCCACCGCAUGUACCGUUUACUGCAGGGAAGAUUCCACCUUCUUGUGUGCCGGCUGUGACGCCCGCAUGCAUGCAGCAAAUCUGUUGGCUUCUCGUCACGAGCGUGUGUGGGUUUGCGAGGCCUGCGGACGUGCCCCUGCAGCCUUUCUUUGCAAGGCAGAUGCUGCCUCACUCUGUGCCUCCUGCGACACUGACAUCCACUCUGCCAACCCCUUGGCGCGCCGUCACCACCGUGUCCCAAUUAUGCCCAUUUUAGGUAGCCACACAAAAAUUAUACUCCUACAUGUAAAAAAUAACAAAUAUUUCAAUAAAUAUGAUUUUUGAACCAUAAUUCCAAAAUGUAUAGCAUUAAGUAGCAAGAACAUUUAAAGAUUGAACCCAUCAAACUUAAAUUCUAAAUUCUCUUGAUUCCACUUUCCAGGAACCCUUUAUGGUCCUCCAGCUGUCGAAACCGUUGGCAGUGGUUCUAUGAUGAUUGGUGGGCCCACAGGGGAAAGCACGGAGGAUUAUGGGUUCUUGAGUUUUACUCAAAAUGCAGAUGAUAUGACUGUAGAUGAAGAAGAUGAAGAUGAAGAUGAAGCAGCUUCAUGGUUGUUGCUGAAUCCUCCUGUUAAGAAGAACAAUAAGACCUUUGACAAUGACCACAAUAAUCAAAAUAACAACUAUGGGAUGUUGUUUGGUAGGGAAGUAGUGGAUGACUACUUGGAUCUAGCGGAGUAUGGAGGGGUUAGUCAAUUUAACGAUCAGUACAGUGUUAAUCAGCAGCAACAACAUUACUCUGUUCCUCAGAAGAGCUACCGUGGAGAUAGUGUUGUGCCAGUUCAGGAAGGACAGGGAAAAUCUCUGAUUCUCUACCACCAACAGCAGCAACAACAAAGUCACCACCUAAAUUUUCAGCUGGGAAUGGAGUAUGACAAUUAUAACACUAGAUAUGGUUACACUGCUACUAUGAGUCACAGUGUGAGUUUUCUAAUCUGUAUCCAUAUAUCUCACUUCAGGCAACAUGCACUUUGACGAAAUUCAUGGACCAAGAAAAUUUUUAUGGAUCUAAAUUUUUAUUCCUUAUUUUUCAGAUCACUGAUUUCACUUUUUAUGGACGAAUAACUGUAGGUACCUUUUAAGUGAUAGUUAAUUGGAGUGAUGACCACUUUUGUUUUCUUUAUCUUGAUGUAUUCUCAGGUUUCCAUUUCGUCGAUGGAUGUCAGUGUUGUCCCAGAAUCUGCACUAAGUGAAACUUCAAACUCCCACCCACGACCUCCAAAAGGGAACAUUGACCUUUUCUCAGGCCCUCCAAUUCAGAUACCUCCCCCUCCCCAGCUUACUCCAAUGGACAGAGAAGCCAGAGUCCUAAGGUACAGAGAGAAGAAGAAGAACCGUAAAUUCGAGAAAACCAUAAGGUAUGCUUCAAGAAAAGUCUAUGCAGAAACAAGGCC
rnacentral:lncRNA from 1 species